rnacentral:rRNA from 3 species
CUAUUAUAUUAAGUGUUAAUUUUGUUUACCAGGGUAGUAUUAGUUAGGAUCUUUAAACCCAAAGAAUUUGGCGGUAUCUCAUUCCAUUUAGAGGAACCUACCCCGUAAUUGAUAAUACACGAUUAACUAUACUUAAUUUAUUUGUUUGUAUAUCUCCGUUAUCAGAAAAUCUUUUUGGAGUUAUAAUUUUCUUGAUUUAUAAUUAUAAAACAUUUCAGGUCAAGGUGCAGCUUAUAAUUAAGAGGAGGUGGGUUACAAUAAAUUUUGGUUUAUUACGUAUUUAAUAGUGAAAACUAUUAAUAAAGGUGGAUUUAAUAGUAAUUUGAUUUAUUUAAUUCAAUUGAUAUUGGCUCUGAGGUGUGUACACAUCGCCCC